CUCCGCCGGCGACCGGCGCACGGGUGAGUAACACGUAUGCAACCUGCCCCUGUCAGGGGGACAACCCGCCGAAAGGCGGGCUAAACCCGCGUACAUGCCACCGGGGCAUCCCGGAGGCAGGAAAGGCUUCGGCCGGACAGGGAUGGGCAUGCGGCGCAUUAGCUAGACGGCGGGGUAACGGCCCACCGUGGCGACGAUGCGUAGGGGUUCUGAGAGGAAGGUCCCCCACACUGGUACUGAGACACGGUCCAGACUCCUACGGAAGGCAGCAG
rnacentral:rRNA from 1 species